GACGAACGCUGGCGGCGUGCUUAACACAUGCAAGUCGAACGAAGUGGCGAACGGGUGAGUAACGCUUAAUCAACCUUCCCUUCAGAGGGGGACAACAGUAGGAAACGACUGCUACUACCGCAUACUGAAGGAGGUGAUUGCGUCUGAUUAGCUAGUUGGAGGGGUAACGGCCCACCAAGGUGAUGAUCAGUAGCGGGUCUGAGAGGAUGAACGGCCAAAUGGGGACGGAGAAACGGCCCAGACUCCUACGGGAGGCAGCAGUGGGGAAUCUUCCGCAAUGGAGGAAAGACUGACGGAGCAACGCGGCGUGAGUGAUGACGGCCUUCGGGUGGGAAAGCUCUGUUAAUCGGGACGCGGUACCGGAAGAGAAAGCCACGGCUAACUACGUGCCAGCAGCCGCGGUAAUUC
rnacentral:rRNA from 1 species